UGCCAGCCGCCGCGGUAAUACGUAGGGGGCAAGCGUUGUCCGGAUUUACUGGGUGUAAAGGGCGCGCAGGCGGAUUUGUCAGUCAGGGGUGAAAUCCUACAGCUUAACUGUAGAACUGCCUUUGAUACUGCAAAUCUUGAGUUCGGAAGGGAGAGGCGGAAUUCCAGGUGUAGUGGUGAAAUUCGUAGAUAUUGGGAAGAACACCAGUGGCGAAGGCGGCUAACUGGCUCGGUACUGACGCUGAGAUGCGAAAGCGUGGGGAGCAAACAGGAUUAGAUA
rnacentral:rRNA from 1 species